rnacentral:lncRNA from 1 species
UAUCAGUUUUGGCCAUUUUUAUUCAUGGAUAUGUAAAGCCUUUCUCCAUGUAAGGCUAUAAAAUGAAAUUAUAAUUUACACCCAAAAUUUGCCGCAAAGUCGCAGUCACAGCUACUCUCUUCUUGGAGACGGAACAGAAGUUGAGCAUGUAACUAUUUUCACGUAGUGCGCCAUAUAAUUAAUCACUUUUUAAAGUGGACGUUUCAGACAACACUGCAAGAAGGAUGCACACGGUUCAAAUUUGAAUAGAGUACCGGUGCGCAUUGUGAUGCGCCGCAAUGGCCUAAAGAGACUUUUAUUUUGACACGACGGACUCGGAACCCGGAAGUCCGACGCUUGCGUACUUGAAGAAAAUCGUGUGCGUGAUGUGGUCGAGCGCGUCCGAUUGCGACAUGUGGGCUUCGCUGGAUUCACCAAAACUCUGCGAGGUCUGCCUGACCGACACUUGGUAGACAGUGGGCCUGCAGGGUGUGUGAGAAAAUGGAAAAUUAUGAGAUUUAUGUCCCAGAGGAUUCCGGCAUUGGGCUGUUGCCUCCUUCCAUCAUCUCGAGGCUGGGUUUUGAACAGUCGUACCACAGGGAUCCCCGUGGCGCUUUCUGGGUCUCCCCAGUGGUUUUCAGAAAGAGGGAUCACAGAGACUGGCCUGCAGAACCCGGUGAGGUUAGUACAUCCAGGUGGUCCUUCCAGGUCGAGGUCAAGCAGCCCCAGGGCCAACAUUCGCUCCCCAUCAUCAGCGCCAACUUCAGAGUCUUCAAGCUCCUGAAGUACUUCUUGCCCCAGGGCAAUACAUCCCAUGAGCUGGACCAUCAGUUCAACACUGAUGGCCUUCCACAGAUCCCUUUGUCGGACCUCAGUCAAGAUGGCAUAAUCCUCUAUCAACACAAGGUCUUCCUCUCGCUCACGAACACCAGGAGAUUUAGGAGGCGUGUGAAGAGGAGCCACCCCUGCUCUUUACCGUGUUGUAGCCCCACUGAGAUGGUCUCCAAGUCACUGAGGGGUUGUGCUUCGCAUCAUCCUCAAAGCAAGGCGUUGCUUUCUGAAAUGAAGGCUGCUGAUGACAGGGCUUACCUUCGUGCCUUCAACAUCAGACAUCAGCUCUUUGUCCGUCUCGCCCAGAUCUCAGCAACACGUCUGCAGAAGCUUUGGUACCAGGGCAGGACUCUAAAGCUGGAUGAGAAUCCGGCAGCUUUCUCACCCGAUGACGGCAGACAGGCGGUGAAACCUGCAAGCGAAGUGCCAGUGGACACGUCAUUCACUGCCGAACCCACCAACAGUAAUGAUCAGAAUCAGGAAGCACCAGCCAUUUAUCUCAGCCAGCAGAAAGAGGGGAUGGAUGUUUUGACCUCCUCUGGCAGCGAACUCAAGGAGAUCGACAUGGAUGGAGACAAUGAGGACCGCUCAAGCAGCCCAAGUGAGCUCAGAAAUGGGAACAGAAUUCGAAAUGAGCCGACGAGCCCAUUUAAAGCGGAGACGGAAGUUAAGAAGGAACGUUCCGGAGAACCCCACGCCGUGGAAAUGUGUGCAGAAACUCCCGGCAGCCCUGCGCGAGACUCCGAUGACAACGAGGGCGUCAAGAGCCAACGCGGCGAGGAAGAGACACUUUGGCGUUUUGGAAACGAGGAGCUUCCCGACGAGGGCGGAGCCAUGCCCACCCCCUUCGUCUCCUCGUCCAGCCCUUUUGGGUUUGACUUUGAGCUGUCGGCCCGGGCUGAGCGAAUCCACCGGAUUCGGGCGCUGCUGCGGGAGAAGGAGGCGGCGCUGAGCACCUGCAAAGAUUUGGUGUGAAGAUUUGGCCCGUUUUAUAAGAUGGACAAAUGAUUGAUUGGCUGCUAACUACCUCUCUGGACUUCUAACUGACGCCACCUUGUUCUGUUUACGUUUGUACUUAUAAUAAAUAUAACUGUAGUUAUAUUGUGGUACUUCA